rnacentral:rRNA from 1 species
UACGAAGGGGGCUAGCGUUGCUCGGAAUCACUGGGCGUAAAGGGUGCGUAGGCGGGUCUUUAAGUCAGGGGUGAAAUCCUGGAGCUCAACUCCAGAACUGCCUUUGAUACUGAAGAUCUUGAGUUCGGGAGAGGUGAGUGGAACUGCGAGUGUAGAGGUGAAAUUCGUAGAUAUUGGGAAGAACACCGGUGGCGAAGGCGGCUCACUGGCUCAUAUCUGACGCUCAGGCGCGACAGCGUGGGGAUCAAACAGG